rnacentral:rRNA from 1 species
AACGAACGCUGGCGGCAGGCUUAACACAUGCAAGUCGAACGCAUCGCAAGAUGAGUGGCAGACGGGUGAGUAACGCGUGGGAAUCUACCUAGUUCUACGGAACAACAGUUGGAAACGACUGCUAAUACCGUAUACGCCCUAAGGGGGAAAGAUUUAUCGGAAUUAGAUGAGCCCGCGUAAGAUUAGCUAGUUGGUGGGGUAAUGGCCUACCAAGGCGACGAUCUUUAGCUGGUCUGAGAGGAUGAUCAGCCACACUGGGACUGAGACACGGCCCAGACUCCUACGGGAGGCAGCAGUGGGGAAUAUUGGACAAUGGGCGCAAGCCUGAUCCAGCCAUGCCGCGUGAGUGAUGAAGGCCUUAGGGUUGUAAAGCUCUUUCACCGACGAAGAUAAUGACGGUAGUCGGAGAAGAAGCCCCGGCUAACUUCGUGCCAGCCGCCGCGGUAAUAC